rnacentral:rRNA from 1 species
GUGCAGCAGGCGCGAAUCCUCCGCAAUGCGGGAAACCGUGACGGGGUCACCCCGAGUGCCACCCGAUGAGGGUGGCUUUUCCCCGGUCUAAAAAGCCGGGGGCAAUAAGCGGGGGGCAAGUCUGGUGUCAGCCGCCGCGGUAAUACCAGCCCCGCGAGUGGGUCGGGACGUUUAUUGGGCCUAAAGCGUCCGUAGCCGGCUCGGUAAGUCCCUCCUUAAAUCCACGGGCUCAACCCGUGGGCUGGGAGGGAUACUGCCGGGCUAGGGGGCGGGAGAGGCCGAGGGGUACUCCCGGGGGUAGGGGCGAAAUCCGUUAAUCCCGGGAGGACCACCAGUGGCGAAGGCGCUCGGCUGGAACGCGCCCGACGGUGAGGGACGAAAGCUGGGGGAGCAAAGGGG